CAAAAGAAAGAUAUGUUUUUGGGGCAUUGACCAAAAAUAUAGUCCCAUUUUGACAAUUAUACAUGACGCACUUCGUUGAUAUGGCUUCAAUAAAGAAUAUAGUCCUAACGAUUAAUGCAAGCUGUCAAGUAGGGAAAAUAGUUUAAUCAAAAAUUAGCAAUUUGAAUUUUUUUUUUUUGGAACUACCGCGGAUGUGUCGGAAAAGAGGGGGUCUAUUGAAAAGGAGCCAUUGUAAUUAUCACCUCAAGUUUAUAAAAGACUACAUAACAAAACCGUUAUGUGUAGGCGGGGCGCAUUUAAAGGGUAGAUAAGCGUUGGUUUUCACGGAGGUAGUUAGACAGUUCACCCGAAACAAAGACCGGUCUCGAUAGAGUGUUUCUACCUUAAACAGAAAUCUACUAAUCUACAGAAUAUCUCUCAAACCAUGUUGUCCAGCCCUGCCGCACUGGUAGUCUUCUGCGCAUGCGUUACUAUUGUAAUUUGCGCGCCCCCGAUGAGUAAAGACCAGCGGUUGACCAUAAAGAACCAAGAUAACACGCGUUGUCCACCGGGCUAUUGGUGUAAAAGACAAGUAGAUGAGAAAAGAGAAGCAUCCCUCGCUGGAGACACAGCGGGUGUGAGGUGUCCUGUGGGUUUCUGGUGCCAGAAACAAGAAAAAGUGAAGAGAGAUAAGUUGUGCCCCCCAGGCUACUGGUGCCGGAGAAUGGCGGAUGUGAAGAGAGAAUCGAACACAUGCCCCCCCGGAUAUCGGUGCCGAUUACCUACCGCUGAAGAGGACGCAGGCGAAAGAUGUCCCCCCGGUUACUGGUGUCGUCGAUCUAAUAUGAAUCGUGACUUAGACAAACUCUGCCCCCCUGGAUACUGGUGUGAUGCGAAGAGAAGGAAAUCGGACGAGAUGAAACAGGAAAAGCCUCAAAGUAUCAAUAUAGAACUAUUAGAAUAGAGUAUUGAAUGAUCGUAUCAUAUUUGUAGAGGCAUUUUAGUUCCCCGAGCUCCUUUCCGCACGCACCUCUCUGAGGUAGCUGUUUUAUUUUGUAUAAGAAAUAUAACUUACAUGUCUAAAAAAAUUAAUAAAGCAUUAAAUAAAGAAUGAUGUACAAUA